rnacentral:rRNA from 1 species
GACGAACGCUGGCGGCGUGCCUAAUACAUGCAAGUCGAACGCAGUGGGGACGGGUGAGUAACACGUGGGUAACCUGCCAUAAGAGGGGAUAACACUUGGAAACAGGUGCUAAACCGAUAUGGGUGGUUGGACCCGCGGUGCAUUAGCUAGUUGGUGAGGUAACGGCUCACCAAGGCCACGAUGCAUAGCCGACCUGAGAGGGUGAUCGGCCCCACGGGGACUGAGACACGGCCCAGACUCCUCCGGGAGGCGGCAGUAGGGAAUCUUCGGCAAUGGCCGAAGGUCUGACCGAGCAACGCCGCGUGAGUUAAGAAGGUUUUCGGAUCGUAACACUCUGUUGUUAGAUAAGCGGUAUCUAACCAGAAAGCCACGGCUAACUACGUGCCAGCAGCCGCGGUAAUUC